AUUUAAACAUAAUCGAUCAAAGAAACAAAAAUAUUCGGUGCGCUGCAAAAGUUACAACCCCUGCAGUCGAGCGAUUGCUAUACGAAGGGCAGUUUCGGGGUUGCUUAUAGAUCAUUUAAACAUAAUCGAUCAAUGAAACUAAAAUUUUUGGUGCACUGCAAAAGUUAGCAACCCCCCUAACCAACACUUGCUAUGCAUGCACGUGUAGAUUUGCUAAAAAAUUCGAAAGUUUAAAACGAGAAUGAAAUUUAUUUUUAGAGGGCAGUUUGGGGUGGCCAAUAGAUCAUUUAAACUUAAUCGAUCAUAGAAACAAAAACAUUUGGACCACUACAAAAGUUACAACCCCUGCAGUCGAGGACGGCUAUGCAUAGAGCAGUUUCGGGGUUGCUUAUAGAUCAAUUAAACAUAAUCGAUUAAAGAAACUAAAAUUUUCGGUUUGCUGCAAAAGUUAUCAACCCCCCUAACCAACACUUGCCAUGCAUUGGGCAGUUCCGGGGUGGCCAAUAGAUCAUUUAAA